AUUGAACGCUGGCGGCAUGCCUUACACAUGCAAGUCGAACGGCAGCACGGGUGCUUGCACCUGGUGGCGAGUGGCGAACGGGUGAGUAAUACAUCGGAACGUACCUUAUCGUGGGGGAUAACGCAGCGAAAGCUGUGCUAAUACCGCAUACGCCCUGAGGGGGAAAGCGGGGGAUCGAAAGACCUCGCGCGAUUAGAGCGGCCGAUGCCUGAUUAGCUUGUUGGUGGGGUAAAAGCCCACCAAGGCGACGAUCAGUAGCUGGUCUGAGAGGACGAUAAGCCACACUGGGAAUGAGAGACGGCCCAGACUCCGACGGGAGGCAGCAGUGGGGAAUUUUGGACAAUGGGGGCAACCCUGAUCCAGCAAUGCCGCGUGAGUGAAGAAGGCCUUCGGGUUGUAAAGCUCUUUUGUCAGGGAAGAAACACCGGCUCUAACACAGUCCGGGAAUGACGGUACCUGAAGAAUAAGCACCGGCUAACUACGUGCCAGCCGCCGCCGUAA
rnacentral:rRNA from 1 species